rnacentral:lncRNA from 1 species
UAUGCACAUAUAUAUACACACACAUAUAAAUACAUCUAUCUGUAUAAUAUACAUAUUCAUAUAUUGUAUGUAUACAUACAUACAGCGAUAUCUAUACUUUUAUAUACACCUACUCUUUCACGUAUCAGUAUAAAUGUAAUUGUUGACAAACCUUAUCUGAUUGGUUUAUAUUGUUGAUUUUAAUAUUAUUAUUGACAAAACAGUAAUAAUUGACUGCACGAUGUAAUGAUGUUAUGUUGUGGCAAAUGACGGUUAAAUGGAAACUGCUGACGGUACAAUACGACCAUUGACAGUACAACAGAGAAAGUGAUAGCACAAUGUAAGAACUGAUUGUCCAGUGUACCGAGUGACUCCACAGUCUAUUAACUGACAGUAAAAUAUAGCACCUGAUGGUAACGUGUAGCUAUUGAUUGUGAAAUGUAGCUAUUAGCAGUAAAAUAUAGCUAUUCAUGGUAAAAUGUAGCUUUGGAUGGUGAUAUGCAGCUAUUGACAGUGAAAUUUAGCUAUUUAUUGUGAAAUGUAGCUAUUGACAGUAAAAUGUAGCUAUUGACAGUGAAAUGUAGCUAUUGACGGUAAAAUGUAGCUAUUGACGGUCAAAAAUCUAGCUAUUGGCAGUGAAAUGUAGCUAUUGACAAUAAAAUCUAGCAGUUGACGAUAAAAUGUAGCUAUUAGUGGUAGAAUGUAGCUAUGGACAGUGAAAUGUUGUUAUUGACGCUAAACUGCUACUAUUGACAUCAAAAUAUAGCUAUUGACAUAAAAACUGUAGUUAUUAAUAGCAAAAUGUAGCUAUUGACGAUAAAACGUCAUAACUGAUAGUAAAAUGUAACUAGUGACAUGAAGGUCCUUAUGUUCAUGAUUUCACAGCAAGACUAACUCUGUACAGGUGUGACACCGUAUAUUAAUUAACUAAUCGAAACCGAUAAAAAGAACAUCAGAUAAAUUAAUAUGCUAACAUACAAACCAAUGAAUACAGGUCAACUGAUGGAAUAACAUACAUAAUUAAAGAAAGAACAACCAAAAGGUUAUUGAAGAACUGAUUAAUUAAUUAAACAAAUGAGAAGAUAAUGGAACAACUGGUAGAUUGAUGAGCAAACCAACAAACGAGUGGAACCAGCUGACAAGCUAAUGGGAUAACUAGCAAGCUGGUGGGACAAUUGAAAAAUCGAUGGGAUAACCAAGAAACUAAAGAGACAAUUGAUAACCUGUGGAAACUGACAAGCUGAUGGAACUGAUGGGACAAAAGACAGGCCAAUAGGAUGAUUGACAAGCUGAUGUAUUAAAUGAUAAAUACAUGGGUCAACUGACAAGCUGAUGGGCUAAUUGUUAAGUUGAUGGGACAACUGACAAGCUGAUAGGAUAAUGAACAGGUUAGUAGGAUAACUGACAAUCUGUUGUGUUAACUGAUAAGUUAAUUUGACAACUGACAAGCUGAUGGGCUAAUUGACAAGCUGAUGGGCUAAUUGAUAAGCUGAUGGGAUAAUUGACAAGCUGAUGGGACAAUUGACAAGCUGAUGGGACAAUUGACAAGCUGAUGGGAUAAUUGACAAGCUGAUGGGACAAUUGACAAGCUGAUGGGCUAAUUGACAAGCUGAUGGGACAAUUGACAAGCUGAUGGGCUAAUUGACAUACUGAUAGGAUAAUUGACAAGCUGAUGGGACAAUUGACAAGCUGAUGGGACAAUUAACAAGCUGAUGGGACAAUUGACAAGCUUAUGGGACAAUUGACAAGCUGAUGGGACAAUUGACAAGCUGAUGGGCUAAUUGACAUACUGAUAG